AGGUGGUUAUAGUUCCACGAUAUGCCCACACUGAUUAUUUCCUGGAGCCCUAAAACCACCGAAGGGCUCACCAGCAUUGCCACCAUUAUUUUCUUUGCAAAUUAAAAGAGAGUGCAUGAGUGAAGACUUGGUUUGUACACCCGCUAACAGUUCAUGGAGACCCAUUGACCCUAGAGAGAAAUUUUUAGGCUAAAUCAUCUAUUCAAUUCGUGGAAAAAUGCUAAAGAUAAAAUCUGUUGGUUGCUGGCUGAUGUUGAGCCAUAUGUUACAUACCAAAUUGCCUUGCUUGCAAAAGUCUAUCCGUAUUGCAUUUCUGGAAAAUAUUGCAGUAAACUUCUAAUUUGAGAAUAUUUUAGCUUAUUAUAUCCUUUGUUUUGGAAUAUGUAUGUGCAUUAAAAUUGCUUUGUCAUAUAGUCAUCAUGUAGAAUAAACUGGAUGGGACAGGCA